CCUACGGGGCGCAGCAGUGGGGAAUAUUGCACAAUGGGGGAAACCCUGAUGCAGCGACGCCGCGUGAGCGAUGAAGUAUUUCGGUAUGUAAAGCUCUAUCAGCAGGGAAGAAAAUGACGGUACCUGACUAAGAAGCCCCGGCUAACUACGUGCCAGCAGCCGCGGUAAUACGUAGGGGGCAAGCGUUAUCCGGAUUUACUGGGUGUAAAGGGAGCGUAGACGGCAGGGCAAGCCUGAUGUGAAAGCCCGGGGCUCAACCCCGGGACUGCAUUGGGAACUGCCCCGCUCGAGUGCCGGAGGGGCAG
rnacentral:rRNA from 1 species